UGCAAGUCGAACGGUAACAGGUCUUCGGAUGCUGACGAGUGGCGAACGGGUGAGUAAUACAUCGGAACGUGCCUAGUAGUGGGGGAUAACUACUCGAAAGAGUAGCUAAUACCGCAUGAGAUCUACGGAUGAAAGCAGGGGAUCGCAAGACCUUGUGCUACUAGAGCGGCUGAUGGCAGAUUAGGUAGUUGGUGGGGUAAAGGCUCACCAAGCCAACGAUCUGUAGCUGGUCUGAGAGGACGACCAGCCACACUGGAACUGAGACACGGUCCAGACUCCUACGGGAGGCAGCAGUGGGGAAUUUUGGACAAUGGGCGAAAGCCUGAUCCAGCAAUGCCGCGUGCAGGAUGAAGGCCCUCGGGUUGUAAACUGCUUUUGUACGGAACGAAAAGCUCUGGGCUAAUAUCCCGGAGUCAUGACGGUACCGUAAGAAUAAGCACCGGCUAACUACGUGCCAGCAGCCGCGGUAAUACGUAGGGUGCAAGCGUUAAUCGGAAUUACUGGGCGUAAAGCGUGCGCAGGCGGUUAUGUAAGACAGAGGUGAAAUCCCCGGGCUCAACCUGGGAACUGCCUUUGUGACUGCAUGGCUAGAGUACGGUAGAGGGGGAUGGAAUUCCGCGUGUAGCAGUGAAAUGCGUAGAUAUGCGGAGGAACACCGAUGGCGAAGGCAAUCCCCUGGACCUGUACUGACGCUCAUGCACGAAAGCGUGGGGAGCAAACAGGAUUAGAUACCCUGGUAGUCCACGCCCUAAACG
rnacentral:rRNA from 1 species